rnacentral:rRNA from 1 species
UGUUUCGGCAAGGGGGUCAUCCCGACUUACCAACCCGAUGCAAACUGCGAAUACCGGAGAAUGUUAUCACGGGAGACACACGGCGGGUGCUAACGUCCGUCGUGAAGAGGGAAACAACCCAGACCGCCAGCUAAGGUCCCAAAGUCAUGGUUAAGUGGGAAACGAUGUGGGAAGGCCCAGACAGCCAGGAUGUUGGCUUAGAAGCAGCCAUCAUUUAAAGAAAGCGUAAUAGCUCACUGGUCGAGUCGGCCUGCGCGGAAGAUGUAACGGGGCUAAACCAUGCACCGAAGCUGCGGCAGCGACACUAUGUGUUGUUGGGUAGGGGAGCGUUCUGUAAGCCUGUGAAGGUGUACUGUGAGGUAUGCUGGAGGUAUCAGAAGUGCGAAUGCUGACAUAAGUAACGAUAAAGCGGGUGAAAAGCCCGCUCGCCGGAAGACCAAGGGUUCCUGUCCAACGUUAAUCGGGGCAGGGUGAGUCGACCCCUAAGGCGAGGCCGAAAGGCGUAGUCGAUGGGAAACAGGUUAAUAUUCCUGUACUUGGUGUUACUGCGAAGGGGGGACGGAGAAGGCUAUGUUGGCCGGGCGACGGUUGUCCCGGUUUAAGCGUGUAGGCUGGUUUUCCAGGCAAAUCCGGAAAAUCAAGGCUGAGGCGUGAUGACGAGGCACUACGGUGCUGAAGCAACAAAUGCCCUGCUUCCAGGAAAAGCCUCUAAGCAUCAGGUAACAUCAAAUCGUACCCCAAACCGACACAGGUGGUCAGGUAGAGAAUACCAAGGCGCUUGAGAGAACUCGGGUGAAGGAACUAGGCAAAAUGGUGCCGUAACUUCGGGAGAA